GGUGUUGUGGCUCAGUGGUAGAGCACAAGCCUAGCAUGCAAGAGGCACUGGGUUCAAGUGUCAGCAUCA
rnacentral:tRNA from 1 species